rnacentral:lncRNA from 10 species
AGUGCCAACAUUGCUUUGUCUCUCGCUGGAGAAGCCUGUGAGAACGAGGAUGGGCAAAGUGUCAGGCUCUUGGUGCAGCUGAAAAUCCUUUGAGAUGGAAGAAAUGGCUGGAACAAAGGGGCAGAGGAACAAAAAGCCCUGAACUGCUUCGCCCCUGCCUCGUGGGGUCUUUAUCAUCUUAAACCUUGGGAUUUGGGCUUUGAUCAACUCGGCCUUCCUGGGCCUCGGGGAGAGAGACGGACUGCCUCCGGGUGCUCAUGACCUUUCCAGCAGUAAGCCAAUAAUGUAUGACUCCUGCGUUGCCGUUGCUCGUUUGAGGAACAUCUGUCCAGUCCCUGGGAUGGUGAGGCUAUAACCACAAAGGAAUAAGAGAAGACGACUAGUUUUGUAAUGGGCACAGUGGAUUGAAGAGGGGGGCAGUGCUGAGUCAUUCACGUGGUGUGUGAGGGCUCCUGUUUGUAAAUCAGGGAUUCUUGCAGCCUGCUUUUUCAGGGACAUUGGCUGCUGUCUUCUGACCCACCCUGUGUGGCUUUGGCGUCUCCUGUGACCUCCCAGUAUGGGUCUUGGCCUCAUCCUGCCUCUUUGUCUUUCUGGCCCACCACCCACAGCUUGAAUCUCAGGCUCCAACAGUUGCCUGACCCCCAGAUUCUGAUGACAGCCUACCUACUUGUUCUUCAGGCCCUCACCAGACUCACUGCCCAGACACACCACACAGGAGAACAUGAAAGGCUUUGAAUGAUGCAUUGGCCCACGUGGACCACCUUCCAUUUCCCAAGACUUUUUGAAGGCAAUGAAUGAGAAGAAAGCAGAGAAAACAGUGGGCGUGAGGUCAGAUGACUCAGGCUUGAGUACUGAUCACAUCAAGGAUUGGACGCACUGCUCUUAGGAAGGCACAACUUCUACUACUUUCAGUCUUAUCAACUGUGAGAGUGUACCCUUGCUGUAGAUGCCACCCGCCCAGCAGUCCUCAUCAUCUUGGCCCAGGAUCACCUGAAACAGAUGAUCCUCCUUUUGAGCUACCAUCAGAAGGUCCACAGUACUAGCCCAGCGCUACAUCCCAAUGCCUACGCCAUUCAUCUCACCUCAUCUCAUCACGUAGACAUUUCAUCAUGUCACAUCAUCACAAGAAGG